rnacentral:sRNA from 1 species
UAUCGUCUCUGUGAAUGCAAACCCGCCU